AAUGAACGCUGGCGGCGCGCCUAAUACAUGCAAGUCGAGCGAGAAGACGUAGCAAUACGUUUGUAAAGCGGCGAACGGGUGAGGAAUACGUGGGUAACCUACCCUAGAGUGGGGAAUAACUAGCCGAAAGGUUAGCUAAUACCGCGUACGCUCCUUGGACUUCGGUUCAGGGAGGAAAGCGAUGCCGAGGGUAUCGCGCUCUUGGAUGGGCUCAUGUCCUAUCAGCUUGUUGGGAGGUAACGGCUCACCAAGGCUUCGACGGGUAGCUGGUCUGAGAGGACGAUCAGCCACACUGGCACUGCGACACGGGCCAGACUCCUACGGGAGGCAGCAGUAAGGAAUAUUGCGCAAUGGGCGAAAGCCUGACGCAGCGACGCCGCGUGGGGGGAGUGAA
rnacentral:rRNA from 1 species